UAUAUAUACAUUAUACAUAUAUAUAUUGCAGAUGUUUUGGCACGGACGCCGUAGACCCACGUAUACAGCUAUAUAGAGGGUUAAUAAAAUGUACGAAUAAGCGUGUAUAAUCCAUGUGACUCAACGGCGAAAGAAAGAAGUACCAAUAAGAGACAUAAAAGAAGACAAAUUUGAAGAUUCUACUGUGACGAAAGAUGUCGUCCGACGAAAGAAAUCCUACUUUUUAUAAUAUAAGUGAAAGAAAGGUGGACUCAAUAAUUGAUCUGGAAUGGACUCAUCAGUCGUGGUCCAGGACGGCUUUUUCUUUGUCAUUUUCCUCUUCUUCUUCGUCAUUUUCCUUUUAUUCUCAUUUUUUCGAUAUCUUGGCCCGAAUAUGCGAUGUCCAAAAUAUACCAGUUAAACGAGCUGCGACGCCACUCGUUCCGGAGCCGAUUCGUCCCGUGUCCGCCGCGUUCUGGAAAUGGAAGUGGAAGGGGCACAUAAUCAACAUGGCGGCGGCGCCAGCGCUUCGUCUCCCACGCGGGCACUUCUCGCGCCAAGUGCGCCGCCGUGUUGCUAUAAAAGAUAAUGUACGCGUCUCGCUCUUAACUUCGCGCUUAUGAAUUUUCCGAACUUCGAGUAGAAAAUGUAUUAUAUAAUAUGCUAUUAAUGCUUUUAUUACGAUUGUUAUUUUGCAUUCCAACGAAUAUAUUAAUAUUCUUGAUAGAUAUCCAUCAGAUAUUCGCGACAUUCGAAAAUACGAUCGUCACUUUCGCGAUCGCGAUUGCCCGCGCGAAUCGCCUUCGCUCGAACAAGUACCACGAAAUAUGUAUUUUCAAGAAUCAUCAAUUCCCAAGCGCCAAAUAUGCAUGCUAAAUCCCUUAUACUGUGCUAAAUCUACGCGAUCUACGGUUAAAUAUGAUUACAAGAAAUAAAUACAUGCAGGUUUUGCUUACUAAUUAAAUGAAUUAUUGCGACGCCUGCAGUCGUUCCGAAAUCAAUUUGUUCUGUGCCUAUCACGUUCUACAUGUGGUAAUGACGAAAUAUUUGAAUAUGCAACUUUGGUUCCGGUGAUACUAUGCGAGUCAAAUGGAUAGCUAAUAAAAGCGUACAAUUAUUUAACUAAAAAUAUGCAAUUAAAUUGUAUUAUUGCUACAGUAUAAUACACAUUAUACAGUAAUU